AGUGAACGCUGGCGGUAGGCCUAACACAUGCGAGUCGAACGGCAGCACAGUAAGAGCUCGCUCUUACGGGUGGCGAGUGGCGGACGGGUGAGGAAUACAUCGGAAUCUACUUUUUCGUGGGGGAUAACGUAGGGAAACUUACGCUAAUACCGCAUACGACCUACGGGUGAAAGCAGGGGAUCUUCGGACCUUGCGCGAUUGAAUGAGCCGAUGUCGGAUUAGCUAGUUGGCGGGGUAAAGGCCCACCAAGGCGACGAUCCGUAGCUGGUCUGAGAGGAUGAUCAGCCACACUGGAACUGAGACACGGUCCAGACUCCUACGGGAGGCAGCAGUGGGGAAUAUUGGACAAUGGGCGCAAGCCUGAUCCAGCCAUACCGCGUGGGUGAAGAAGGCCUUCGGGUUGUAAAGCCCUUUUGUUGGGAAAGAAAAGCAGCAGGUUAAUACCCCGCUGUUCUGACGGUACCCAAAGAAUAAGCACCGGCUAACUUCGU
rnacentral:rRNA from 1 species